CCUACGGGGGACAGCAGUGAGGAAUAUUGGUCAAUGGCCGAGAGGCUGAACCAGCCAAGUCGCGUGAGGGAAGACGGCCCUACGGGUUGUAAACCUCUUUUGUCAGGGAACAAAGGCGGGGACGUGUCCCCGGAUGAGUGUACCUGAAGAAAAAGCAUCGGCUAACUCCGUGCCAGCAGCCGCGGUAAUACGGAGGAUGCGAGCGUUAUCCGGAUUUAUUGGGUUUAAAGGGAGCGUAGGCCGCAUGUCAAGCGUGCUGUGAAAUGUCCGGGCUCAACCCGGGCCUUGCAGCGCGAACUGGCGUGCUUGAGUCCGCGGAAGGCAGGCGGAAUUCGUCGUGUAGCGGUGAAAUGCUUAGAUAUGACGAAGAACCCCGAGUGCGAAGGCAGCUUGCUGCAGCGGAACUGACGCUGAUGCUCGAAAGCGCGGGUAUCGAACAGGAUUAGAUACCCUGGUAGUC
rnacentral:rRNA from 1 species